ACAACCAUAUCCAUUUUGUCUGGCAGCUGCCUGAUGGCUGGGAUGACUGCUUAUAGUACAGUCUAGCCAUAAUCAGUGCUGCCCUCACUUGUUUGACAUGCCAAGGAUGAAGAAGGAAGGGCCAUGUAACAGGAGGUGUAUGUGCCACAAUGGGCAUUAAGGAAGCCCAAAUUACUGCACUGAUCAUCUCAUGCAAGCCAUGGAAAGACUGACAGGAGUAUGCUCUCUCUUUGCAAACACUUCUUCAUACUUUCUUUUUUUAAUGCAGUACCAAUUUUGGUCUGUCGUAUCUUUCCUUUAUAAACUCUAACCAUGGAGAAAGAGAAGACACACGGAAAAAUCUGUUGAAUUCAUAAGUUAAGAACUUGGGGAGCAGGAACAGGCAGGAUGGUAUAAGAAAUGGCUUUCCACAUGUUGCAGGCAGAAAACUGUAAAAAUAUGGCUGUUGCCUUGUGGGAAAGAUGGAGGCAGGGUGAAGCAUCUUGGCACAGCAGUCCAGAAUAUUAAGUAGCUCCCUUGCCAGCACAAGAAUAACGGAAAAGAGGCACAUGAGGUCAGGUAGGAGAAGACAAAGGCAGCAGGUUGUGCAACAUAGUAGGAGAAAACUGGGUGCUGUUGAGUAGAAGCUGCAGUGGAGACUUCCGUCUCUUGCAGGUCUCAGAUCUCUUCCACUGGAGCACAAUAGAGAGAUCUGCCUCCAAGAACUAUUGUAGGAAAUCUGGUAAUCCUAUUGCAGAUAAACCUCAACUGCUGUUGCUGCUAUUUCCAUCACACUUGGAAAUCAUCCAGCAAAAUGACAGGCUGCAAAAAAGCUUAGCAGUAGUUGUUUGCCAGCCUAAUAAAUUGAAGAGACUCUUGAGCAUUACAAAGGAAUUGUUUUGCCUCUCUUUGUCACCUCCUGUAGAAUCAAUGAUUUUAAAAGACCUAGACCUGUUUCAGUACCCUGAAGAGCUAAGGCAUUGACAGUGGCUGCACUGUGGCAGCUGCACAUUUCACCUACACAGCGCUGGUGUGCAAGCAGCACAGGUAAUUUAUACAGAAGACUCACAUGAGAGCAAACAGGGAAAAAUGCAUAAGUAGCAACUUGGUCUAUCCAAGUAUAAAAGCAUGAGCUUACCUUUAGACUCUCAAGUUUUAGCAAGGGAUAAUCUACUGCUCUGAUUCACCUUCUUAAAGGCUGCUUUCUCCACUGAAAGAAUGUCUCAGAAUACAGAAAACAUCUGUCUGUUGAUGAAUACUCUGCAAUGAGGCCUUAAACCCUUGAGCUCGUCAACAUAUGAAAGCACAUUUGAACAGCUCAGCUCAAGAACAAAACAGAUGGAAAGAGACAAAGGAGUCAUUCUUCACAUCAUGGAGCACUAAACUCUUUAUUAUAACAAGCACAGGGAAAAAAAAAAAGAAAAAAAAAGACAGGGAUUAAGAAAUGCAGAGCAGACUAUCCAUGCUAGAGAAACUGCAAGGGCUCAUUUCCUAAUCUCUAGAAAGGUAUUGUAGUGCCUAAGAGGGUUAAGAUAUACCCCCUGAUAUUCGGAUCAGUCAGAAAGAUUUUUGAAAAAGAAUCAUUAUGAGUCUUAAGCCUGUUUCUUGCUAAUGAGACAAACUCCCAAAACGUAUAGUGACAUGAAAAACAUGU